rnacentral:rRNA from 1 species
UACGUAGGGGCCGAGCGUUGUCCGGAGUUAUUGGGCGUAAAGCGCGCGCAGGCGGCCUCGCGCGCCCGACGUGAAAGCCCCCGGCUUAACCGGGGAGGGUCGUUGGGGACGGCGGGGCUUGAGGGCGGGAGAGGUCGGUGGAAUUCCCGGUGUAGUGGUGAAAUGCGUAGAGAUCGGAAGGAACGCCCGUGGCGAAAGCGAGGUCCUGGACGUCUUCUGACGCUGAGACGCGAAAGCCAGGGGAGCGAACGGG